rnacentral:tRNA from 1 species
AGCAAGAAGGUGUUUUGGCACUUGAAGUUUUGGUCUUUAGGGUAUAGUUUUACGACUAUUUUUGCUU